GACGAACGCUGGCGGCGUGCCUAAUACAUGCAAGUCGAGCGCUGAAGGUUUGUACUUGUGCCGUCCGGAAGAGGAGCGCACGGGAGUGUAACGUGUGUGGAAUCCGCUUUUGAUCGGGGUACAACAUUGGGAAACGAAUGAUAAUAGCGCAUAAAAACUUUAAACACAAGGUGUAUGUGUGAAAGACGGAAUUGCAUCACUGAAAGAUGAUCCCUCGUUGUAUUAGGUUGGUGGUGCGGUAAAGGAUCACCAAGGCGAAGAUACAUAGCCGCCAUGGGAGGGUGAGCGGCCACCAUGGGACUGGGACACGGCACAAACUGCUACGGGAGGGAGCAGUAGGGAAUCUUCGGCAAUGGGCGAAAGUCUGACCGAGAAAGGCCGCGGGAGUGAAGAAGGUUUUCGGGUCGUAAAACUCGGUUGGUAGAGAAGAACGUGGGUGAGCGUGGAAAGCUCAUCAAGUGACGGUAACUACUCAGAAAGGGACGGCUAACUACGUG
rnacentral:rRNA from 1 species